rnacentral:rRNA from 1 species
CACUGGAACUGAGACACGGUCCAGACUCCUACGGGAGGCAGCAGUGAGGAAUAUUGGUCAAUGGCCGGAAGGCUGAACCAGCCAUGCCGCGUGAAGGUCAGUGCCCUAUGGGCGUUAAACUUCUUUUGUGCGGGAGCAAUAAGGUCCACGUGUGGACCGACGAGAGUACCGUACGAAUAAGCAUCGGCUAACUCCGUGCCAGCAGCCGCGGUAAUACGGGGGAUGCAAGCGUUAUCCGGAUUUAUUGGGUUUAAAGGGUGCGUAGGCUGUGAGGUAAGUCAGCGGUGAAAUGCCCCCGCUCAACGGGGUGAAGUGCCAUUGAUACUGCCUUGCUGGAAUGCGGAUGCCGUGGGAGGAAUGUGUGGUGUAGCGGUGAAAUGCAUAGAUAUCACACAGAACACCGAUUGCGAAGGCAUCUCACGAAUCCGCUAUUGACGCUGAUGCACGAAAGCGUGGGUAUCAAACAGGAUUAGAUACCCUGGUAGUCCACGCUGUAAACGAUGAUGAC